rnacentral:ncRNA from 2 species
AUAAAUCUUCAGGGCAGGGUUAAAUUCCCUACCGGCGGUAAAGCCCGCGAGCCUUAAUGGCAUGAUUCGGUUAGAUUCCGAAGCCGACAGUAGAGUCUGGAUGAAAGAAGAUGGAU